GUCAACUACCCCCGUCUAAAGACGGAGGCUUGAAGCCUCGGAGUUGACCAGCCUAAGUUCGAAGACAGCCUCACGGCAAAUUUGAAGAACUACGUUAUUCUGGUCAUGACACCUUGGAAUGCUGGAGCCAGUUCCAAGCCCUGUC
rnacentral:sRNA from 17 species